GAAAAGGCUAUGAAAGAGGAUAGUAGCUGUUACUUUGCUUUCAGAGAGAAGAUGGCUGGUGCAAAUCUUUAAGAAAAGUACAGGGAAGGCGCUCUUAAGCUGUGGCUUGAACCGGAAAUCAAAGUAGAGACCAACGGAAGUUUCCACCGUUAUCAGGGAAAGCGGCAUAAAGUGCAUGCUCGUGCCGUAACAAGAGUGCAGGUUAUCCUGAAUUUAGGUGGUACCACGGACAGAUAUCGUUCGCCCUAAGC
rnacentral:ncRNA from 1 species